AGUACAAAAAAAUCAGUGCCACUGCUGAUUUCUUGUAACGCAGGAAAACAUGAAUCUGUAGCAGCUCAAGCCCAGCGGCCAGCCAGUGCCCAUCAGGUCUGCCUUCCUCCCCAUCUUUUUUACGAGUAUCAACGAGUGAGAGAGCAGAGGAUGGCUUUCUGCAGAGGCUGCAAAGCGCCACUCUUUGUCUGGGAAGCUCCUUUGAAGAACAUGAAGUGGAUGUUUUUCUCAGUGGUCACCUGGAAUAGUGAGAUGAUUGUCUUCAGAAUCUCCCAAAUAUUUCUAAUACCAAGAUGGGCUCCCACAAGGACAGACUUGAUGACAGCUCAUUAAAGGAAACAUGAAUGAAAAGACUGGAAACAGCAAGACGGAGACCAGCAGUUCCCAAUGCCUUCCAACUGUGGCUUUCUGGAUGGGCCCUGUGUAGCAAGUGUUCCUAGGAGCUGCAAGGUGUUAAAUGAGGCUGAAUCUCCAUGUGAAUGACACAAAGGACUUACGUCUGCACGCUGAGUAUUUCCAUCAAGAGUCAAGGUGAAGUAGAGCCCUGUGCCAGCCCCACUACAAUGGCCCUGCAUUCCCACUACGAUGGCCUGUGCCAUGCUGGGCUCUGCCAUUUCUGCUCUUCCAGACUGCUCUGGAGUCUGGAUUGGUUGCCUUUGGAGAUGUGCUUAGUUUUUCUCAUUAUUAUUCUUUCCAAAAACAGCAUUUUCGUUUUUUGUUUUUUAUAUUUCACUGCACUGCUGUACGCACAGCUGCUUUGCUGCCUCAUAGGAAAAUCAACACAUUCUCCGUAGUUGUAGUCUGAGUAGGCACAGCAAGAUCCUGGUAGCCUCUGGAUGCUGAGGAAGAGAGGGACAACCAAGAGAACAGACAGCAAGGUCAUAGUAAUAAAUUGUGGUGAAAUGCUUCCACAAUGGAAAAUAACUUGGCCCAGCUCCAUCAGCAGUGAUGAUUUCUUUGCAGCGGUCACAACUUCCCCACACAGACAUACGUUUGCAAAGUUUGUGGCUAGUACCAGUGGGAGCUACCUAGCAGGUUUGUAGCUGGAAAGUCUCUUCUUUUCUGGUGGCAUCAGAGGCCAAUCCUGUGCACUAAAAAAUAAGUGCUCUCUGAUUUUCCUGUUUGUUUGGCUUGUCCUUCUCAGA